rnacentral:tRNA from 1 species
GGAGGGCAGUGUUCGCUGGUGCGGGCCCCGGUCUUCAAAACCGGUGGGAGGCCAGGCGGUCUCCGGUGGGUUCGAUUCCCACGGCCCUCC